GGCCUUCACGGAAUAUGUGCUAUUAGGCCUUUUUCCAUUCAUAGCUUAAUCCAAGUCUUCUUGUUCUAGACGCUCUUGGCUUGGUCUUAGACGCUCCUAGCUUGAUCUUAGAUGCUCCUAGCUUGGUCUUAGAUGCUCCUAGCUUGGUCUUAGACGCUCCUAGCUUGGUCUUAGACGCUCCUAGCUUGAUCUUUAGACGCUCCUAGCUUGGUCUUGGACGCUC
rnacentral:lncRNA from 1 species